rnacentral:rRNA from 1 species
AUCGAACGCUGGCGGCAGGCUUAACACAUGCAAGUCGAACGAGUGGCGGACGGGUGAGUAACGUCUGGGAAACUGCCUGAUGGAGGGGGAUAACUACUGGAAACGGUAGCUAUUACCGCAUACCAUCGGAUGUGCCCAGAUUGGAUUAGCUAGUAGGUGGGGUAAAGGCUCACCUAGGCGACGAUCCCUAGCGGGUCUGUGAGGAUGACCGGCCACACUGGAACUGAGACACGGUCCAGACUCCGACGGUAGGCAGCAGUGGGGAAUAUUGCACAAUGGGCGCAAGCCUGAUGCAGCCAUGCCGCGUGUAUGAAGAAGGCCGUCGGGUUGUAAAGUACUUUCAGCGGGGAGGCGUUACCCGCAGAAGAAGCACCGGCUAACUCCGUGCCAGCAGCCGCGGUAAUUC